GACAGAGGGUGCAAACGUUGCUCGGAAUUACUGGGCGUAAAGCGCGUGUAGGCGGACCACCAAGUCGGACGUGAAAGCCCUGAGCUCAACUCAGGAACUGCAUCCGAAACUGGCGGUCUGGAGUAGUGGAGAGGAAAGCAGAAUUCCUGGUGUAGAGGUGAAAUUCGUAGAUAUCGAGAGGAACACCGGUGGCGAAGGCGGCGUUCUGGACAGCACUUGACGCUGAGACGCGAAAGCGUGGGGAGCAAACAGG
rnacentral:rRNA from 1 species